ACAGAGAGUGACCAUGGAAGAGCUGCAAAGCCAAAGGGUUUUGUACUGAGCACAGCCCUCAUUCCCUGUUACCCUGUGGAGCUCCGUGGGAGGAGCUGACCCAUUUUGUGGUGGAAGAAAAAUUGUGAAAUUUGAGGAUCAAAUUCCAGAGCAUUCAACCACGGAAUUUUUGUAUCGUCUUUAAGGUGCUACUUGCCAUGAAAGAUUGCUGUUGCUUUUCUUCACUUUGCACUCAAAGUGCUACAGGAAAUCUCAAAGGAAAAAGGGGAAACUUCACUGGAUAGAUCUCCGCACUACAUACUUAAUAAGACACACUGUCUCUCAUACAUAUAAUUGACGGUUCAAACAACUAUCCCGACAUUUCAGUACUGUCCUGUAGUUGCCAAGAAGCCUUUUUGUAAAUAUUUGCUUUUACAAAAAGGAUGUAGCCAAAUCACUUUUCAAGUUUCCAUGACUGCUGUUGUGUUU
ensembl:lncRNA